GCUAUAACUCCCUGGUAUCUCCAUGUCAGUGCCCACGUCCACAGUGCCUAAGAAGUCCGACAGGUCGCCCGCCUACGUACCAAGAACCAACAAAGGAUUGACGGCGAACGCUACAAUCUUCGAUGACGCUACGUGGAAUAUGAGCCCAGCGACUGUGCUUGAAUUUGCGCACCACGUCGACCCGCAACGUAAGUCCUGAUCGUCAUUCCAGUCCUCCACGCCAACGGAAAAGACCUACAAAUCCGAUAUGCCUUUUGCAUAGGAUAUGUUCGGGACCGUGCUUUCGUUUUCCGAGUGGAAGCCAUACCUGUCGCCCUCGGCAGUGCCUAUGUGUUGUCACGCCAAAAUUCGGUCACUGGAACACUGGAAGCGGGACUUGUGUUCCACCGCCAACGUCAAAUAUGGGUAAAUGACACU